GUGGGGAAUAUUGCACAAUGGGCGAAAGCCUGAUCCAGCCAUGCCGCGUGUGUGAAGAAGGUCUUCGGAUUGUAAAGCACUUUAAGUUGGGAGGAAGGGUAGUAACCUAAUACGUUGCUACUUUGACGUUACCGACAGAAUAAGCACCGGCUAACUUCGUGCCAGCAGCCGCGGUAAUACGAAGGGUGCAAGCGUUAAUCGGAAUUACUGGGCGUAAAGCGCGCGUAGGUGGUUCAGUAAGUUGGAAGUGAAAUCCCCGGGCUCAACCUGGGAACUGCUUUCAAAACUGCUGAGCUAGAGUACGGUAGAGGGUGGUGGAAUUUCCUGUGUAGCGGUGAAAUGCGUAGAUAUAGGAAGGAACACCGGUGGCGAAGGCGACCACCUGGACUGAUACUGACACUGAGGUGCGAAAGCGUGGGGAGCAAACAGGAUUAGAAACCCUGGUAGUCC
rnacentral:rRNA from 1 species